rnacentral:rRNA from 1 species
UAGCAUAUCAAUAAGCGGAGGAAAAGAAACCAACCGGGAUUGCCUCAGUAACGGCGAGUGAAGCGGCAAGAGCUCAAAUUUGAAAGCUGGCCCCCUCGGGGUCCGCGUUGUAAUUUGCAGAGGAUGCUUCGGGUGUGGCCCCCGUCUAAGUGCCCUGGAACGGGCCGUCAUAGAGGGUGAGAAUCCCGUCUGGGACGGGGUGUCCGCGCCCGUGUGAAGCUCCUUCGACGAGUCGAGUUGUUUGGGAAUGCAGCUCUAAAUGGGUGGUAAAUUUCAUCUAAAGCUAAAUACUGGCCGGAGACCGAUAGCGCACAAGUAGAGUGAUCGAAAGAUGAAAAGCACUUUGAAAAGAGAGUUAAAAAGCACGUGAAAUUGUUGAAAGGGAAGCGCUUGCGACCAGACUCGCCUCCGGGGUUCAGCCGGCCUUAGGGCCGGUGUACUUCCCCGGGGGCGGGCCAGCGUCGGUUUGGGCGGCCGGUCAAAGGCCCCUGGAAUGUAGUGCCCCCCGGGGCACCUUAUAGCCAGGGGUGCAAUGCGGCCUGCCCGGACCGAGGAACGCGCUCCGGCACGGACGCUGGCAUAAUGGUCGUAAACGACCCGUCUUGAAACACGGACCAAGGAGUCUAACAUCUACGCGAGUGUUCGGGUGUCAAACCCGUGCGCGCAGUGAAAGCGAACGGAGGUGGGAGCCCCUUCAGGGGGCGCACCAUCGACCGAUCCUGAUGUCUUCGGAUGGAUUUGAGUACGAGCGCAGAUGUGGGGACCCGAAAGAUGGUGAACUAUGCCUGAAUAGGGUGAAGCCAGAGGAAACUCUGGUGGAGGCUCGCAGCGGUUCUGACGUGCAAAUCGAUCGUCAAAUUUGGGUAUAGGGGCGAAAGACUAAUCGAACCAUCUAGUAGCUGGUUCCUGCCGA